CAGCAGCCACGGUAAUACGAAGGGUGCAAGCGUUAAUCGGAAUUACUGGGCGUAAAGCGUGCGUAGGCGGUGAGUUAAGUCUGCUGUGAAAUCCCCGGGCUCAACCUGGGAAUGGCAGUGGAUACUGGCUCGCUAGAGUGUGUCAGAGGAUGGUGGAAUUCCCGGUGUAGCGGUGAAAUGCGUAGAGAUCGGGAGGAACAUCAGUGGCGAAGGCGGCCAUCUGGGACAACACUGACGCUGAGGCACGAAAGCUAGGGGAGCAAACAGGAUUAGAUACCCCCGUAGUCCCUGUCUCUUAUAA
rnacentral:rRNA from 1 species